rnacentral:rRNA from 1 species
AUUGAACGCUGGCGGCAGGCCUAACACAUGCAAGUCGAGCGAGCGGCUGACGGGUGAGUAAUGUCUGGGAAACUGCCUGAUGGCGGGGGAUAACUACUGGAAACGGUAGCUACUACCGCAUACCAUCAGAUGUGCCCAGAUUGGAUUAGCUAGUAGGUGGGGUAACGGCUCACCUAGUCGACGAGCCCUAGCUGGUCUGAGAGGAUGACCAGCCACACUGGAACUGAGACACGGGCCAGACUCCUAAGGGAGGCAGCAGUGGGGAAUAUUGCAAAAUGGGCGCAAGCCAGAUGCAGCCAUGCGGCGUGUGUGAAGAAGGCCGUCGGGUUGUAAAGCACUUUAAGCGGGGAGGCGUUACCCGCAGAAGAAGCACCGGCUAACUCCGUGCCAGCAGCCGCGGUAAUAC